GGGAACGUACCCUUCGGUUCGGAAUAACUCAGGGAAACUUGAGCUAAUACCGGAUACGCCCUUUUGGGGAAAGGUUUACUGCCGAAGGAUCGGCCCGCGUCUGAUUAGCUUGUUGGUGGGGUAACGGCCUACCAAGGCGACGAUCAGUAGCUGGUCUGAGAGGAUGAUCAGCCACACUGGGACUGAGACACGGCCCAGACUCCUACGGGAGGCAGCAGUGGGGAAUAUUGGACAAUGGGCGCAAGCCUGAUCCAGCCAUGCCGCGUGAGUGAUGGAGGCCUUAGGGUUGUAAAGCUCUUUUGUCCGGGACGAUAAUGACGGUACCGGAAGAAUAAGCCCCGGCUAACUUCGUGCCAGCAGCCGCGGUAAUACGAAGGGGGCUAGCGUUGCUCGGAAUCACUGGGCGUAAAGGGCGCGUAGGCGGCCGAUUAAGUCGGGGGUGAAAGCCUGUGGCUCAACCACAGAAUUGCCUUCGAUACUGGUUGGCUUGAGACCGGAAGAGGACAGCGGAACUGCGAGU
rnacentral:rRNA from 1 species